GACGAACGCUGGCGGCGUGCUUAACACAUGCGAGUCGAACGGAAAGGCCCUGCUUGCAGGGUACUCGAGUGGCGAACGGGUGAGUAACACGUGGGUGAUCUGCCCUGCACUUCGGGAUAAGCCUGGGAAACUGGGUCUAAUACCGGAUAGGAGCCAGUUUUAGUGUGAUGGUUGGAAAGUUUUUUCGGUGUAGGAUGAGCUCGCGGCCUAUCAGCUUGUUGGUGGGGUAAUGGCCUACCAAGGCGGCGACGGGUAGCCGGCCUGAGAGGGUGGACGGCCACAUUGGGACUGAGAUACGGCCCAGACUCCUACGGGAGGCAGCAGUGGGGAAUAUUGCACAAUGGGCGCAAGCCUGAUGCAGCGACGCCGCGUGGGGGAUGACGGCCUUCGGGUUGUAAACUCCUUUCGCUAGGGACGAAGCUUUUUGUGACGGUACCUAGAUAAGAAGCACCGGCUAACUACGUG
rnacentral:rRNA from 1 species